ACUGUAAAAAUUGUAGAGAACAGUUUAUUAAAUUUAGACUUAUAAGAAGUCAUAUUCUAACGCACUCCAUCGCUUGAAGCGCUUAUUAUAAUACCAACCCACAAAGGAUUGAUCACGGCAUCAAAACAUAAAUAAAUCAAAUGAACAUAUGUACAUUUAAACAUGGUCAGAAAAACUGGAUUUGUGCAGAAAUCCCACUCCAUGUCUACCCAGAGGCAUGAGAUACUGAAAGGAAGUGUCUUUUGAUGGGAACUACCCUCUGGGAAAGUCUACUAGAAGCAGAAAAAAAGCCUGUUGUGUAAUCUCUUUCUUGAUUUGAUUAGUAAAAGGAAUAUCCGUAGAAUUUCUAAUACAUAUGAAAACAUUGCUGUAUUCUGUAAUAACGGUAAAAAUUGGUGUCGUUAACGGUUUUUAUUUUCCAUCCACCAGCAUGUGUUUGUUGCAUAAUUCACUCUGGGAUUGAUGCUUUGAGAGGAGCAGGACAAGAAAUGUUUCCCAAUAAGUCAAGUUCAUUUGUUAAGAAAUAUUUAACCUGAAUACAAUUAAAAGGAGAGUCUGGUCAUUUUUGAAGGGAUGCUCUGUCAAACAGUUAUCAAGUGUUGAUCUUAUGAGCCACACAGAACAGAGUAUGAAGAAAAUGGCUAGGCUAACCAAACAAGGGCCCAUUUUUUAUUGUUACUCAGCCUUAUWAAACAACUCUCUCAGAAAUAUCACACUGGUGUGAAAAAACGCAACAAGCUGGUUCCAGUUUAWGUUUUAUGUCCCGCCCCCACCAUGUAAACAAAAGGAACAUUGCCUUUGCUGAAACAAAACACCUCACAUGUGGACAAUUGUUUGUAUAGCUUGUAUAUAAAACCUCUAGACUUUCACCUGACACAGUAUAUUUAACCGAACGUGUGUGUUACUCUGCAAAUGUCAGUCUGCUGAACUAAUCAGUCUACCUGAUUAGCAUGUCUGGUUGAUAGAYUAUAUUUAGACCAGAGUUGCCCAAUCCUGGUCCUCAUCGGCCACUACCCUCCAUGUUUUAGUUGUCCAGCAUGGUGUUGAUUUCUACAGGAGACUGUCAAUCACUCGUUCCUUUAGAGCAGGGAUACAUUUAAACAGUGCAGAAUAGUGGUCUUUGAGGAGGACCAGGAUUGGGCACCACUAAUUUAGGCCUAGGACCAGAAACUGGACGUUGAAGCCAAACUCCUUCGCAAGCUGGUGCCAGUUCAGGUUUUAUGUCCCACCCCCUCCAUGUAAACAAAUGGAACGUUUCCCUUGCUAAAACCAAACACCUCAGGUGUUCACUCUUGAUGGUUUGCGKAGUACCUUGCUGUUUUAUUUAUUUAAUAGGUUUAGCUGAAAUUACAUAAUUCAUCCUUAAUAAAAGGUCUUUUAACACUACGAUUGUGAGCAGGGGAGUGGGUGGGACUUAAUCCCCAACAUCUACAGUGCACCGACUCUGGUCCCAAAAAUACAACACGGCAGCUUACAUAAACCGUGUCCUGCUGGCUCCAAUAUUCAACAUCCUGAGAUGGUAGAGACAUCUGGUCURAUAAUGUCAUAUAAUGUCUAUGGUCUGGUCAGUCCAAAGGUUUACUCAGCUCCUGUUAGACUGAUACAUUCAUCAACCUGACAUUCACAAAGUAACAUGGAUGUUGUUUGGUUGGUGUAGGGGUACCAUUAGCUAAUGUAGCGUUCCUUCACACCUAACGUUGCUUUUGAACAUGAGUUGUUUUAAAAGAAAAGAAAAAAUAAUGUUAAAGAGUCCCCUGGUUUGACUAGCUAAUAGCCUUGCCUGGAGGAAGACUUCUUCCCAGUUCUUCAUACUCUGCGCUCCAUGACUCAUGUCAUCACUCGUAAGGUACAAYUCUCCAAAAGUCACCAUGCCGUCCAUUUAAAGAUUAAAUAUUAACUUUACAAAACAGUAUCAUACGCCAAAGAAAACUUAAAUAAAAGUAGCUUCAUACAAUUCUUAAAGAAAAUUAUUUUCAGAUUUACAGCAGACACUUUCACACCAUGAUGAGGAUUACUCAAGACCUCCAGUUUCCGUUUUUACCUUGGUGGGAGUACAGUUUGCUUAAAUAUGCAAGGUGAGAACUGAUAAUUUUACAAAGAUGACUCAUUCUCUGUGGGCUGAGCGAGUGGGAGGAACAAACAUCAAUUUGACUUCCUGCGUCGGACACAGUGAAGACUAAGGUUACAUAAAAA